CAUCGGCCUCAGAUUGGUAGGACUACCCGCUGAACUUAAGCAUAUCAAUAAGCGGAGGAAAAGAAACUAACAAGGAUUCCCCUAGUAACGGCGAGUGAAGAGGGAAGAGCCCAAGAUUGAAAGCUGGCGUCUUCGGCGUCCGCAUUGUAAUCUCAAGAAGUGUUUUCCGCUUCGGACCAAGCCUAAGUCCCCUGGAAAGGGGCAUCAUAGAGGGUGAUAAUCCCGUACAUGGCUUGGAGCGCCCGAGGCUUUGUGAUACGCUUUCUAAGAGUCGAGUUGUUUGGGAAUGCAGCUCAAAAUGGGUGGUAAAUGCCAUCUAAGGCUAAAUAUUGGGGAGAGACCGAUAGCGAACAAGUACAGUGAUGGAAAGAUGAAAAGAACUUUGAAAAGAGAGUUAAACAGUACGUGAAAUUGCCAAAAGGGAAGGGUAGGAGGUCAGAGAUGCGGCCUGGGAUUCAGCCUUGCUUUUGCUUGGUGUUUUUCCCAGAUUGCAGGCCAACGUCGGUUUUGGGCACUGGAGAAGGGUAGGAGGAACGUGGCACCCCUCGGGGUGUGUUAUAGCCUCCUACUGGAUACAGCGACCGAGACCGAGGACAGCAGCGUACUCGCAAGAGCGGGCCUUCGGGCACCUUUACGCUUAGGGCGUUGGCAUAAUGGCCCUCUACCAC
rnacentral:rRNA from 1 species